rnacentral:rRNA from 1 species
GACGAACGCUGGCGGCGUGCUUAACACAUGCAAGUCGAACGGAAAAGGAGUGCCUUUGUGGGGUGCACGAGUGGCGAACGGGUGAGUAACACGUGAGUAACCUGCCCUUGACUUCGGGAUAACUUCAGGAAACUGGGGCUAAUACCGGAUAGGAGCUCAAGAUGCAUGGGGAGGGGUGGAAAGGUUCGGCGGUUAGGGAUGAGCUCGCGGCUUAUCAGCUUGUUGGUGGGGUAGUGGCUUACCAAGGCUAUGACGGGUAGCCGGCCUGAGAGGGUGACCGGCCACAUUGGGACUGAGAUACGGCCCAGACUCCUACGGGAGGCAGCAGUGGGGAAUAUUGCACAAUGGGCGGAAGCCUGAUGCAGCAACGCCGCGUGCGGGAUGACGGCCUUCGGGUUGUAAACCUCUUUCGCCUGUGACGAAGCGAGAGUGACGGUACCUGGUAAAGAAGCACCGGCUAACUACGUG